UACGUAGGGGGCAAGCGUUGUCCGGAUUUAUUGGGCGUAAAGAGCGUGUAGGCGGCCAUGUAGGUCCGUUGUGAAAACUCGAGGCUCAACCUCGAGACGCCGAUGGAAACCAUCUGGCUAGAGUCCGGAAGAGGAGAGUAGAAUUCCUGGUGUAGCGGUGAAAUGCGCAGAUAUCAGGAAGAACACCCGUGGCGAAGGCGGCUCUCUGGGACGGUACUGACGCUGAGACGCGAAAGCGUGGGGAGCGAACAGG
rnacentral:rRNA from 1 species